rnacentral:rRNA from 1 species
AACGAACGCUGGCGGCAUGCCUAACACAUGCAAGUCGAACGAGACCUUCGGGUCUAGUGGCGCACGGGUGCGUAACGCGUGGGAACCUGCCCUUAGGUUCGGAACAACUCCCCGAAAGGGGUGCUAAUACCGGAUAAUGUCUUCGGACCAAAGAUUUAUCGCCUUUGGAUGGGCCCGCGUUGGAUUAGCUAGUUGGUAGGGUAAAAGCCUACCAAGGCGACGAUCCAUAGCUGGUCUGAGAGGAUGAUCAGCCACACUGGGACUGAGACACGGCCCAGACUCCUACGGGAGGAAGCAGUGGGGAAUAUUGGACAAUGGGCGAAAGCCUGAUCCAGCAAUGCCGCGUGAGUGAUGAAGGCCUUAGGGUUGUAAAGCUCUUUUACCCGGGAUGAUAAUGACAGUACCGGGAGAAUAAGCUCCGGCUAACUCCGUG